rnacentral:lncRNA from 1 species
UAAAAAAAAACGUUUCCUACUAUCCUGUGCUAUUUAGCGAUUGCUGCACAGAAACCAGCUACCGGAGGAGCCUAGCAACAUGUGACGUGUUCCUUGCUCAGUUCAGAGUGGCCCCAUGAGGGUCCUGCUGCUCCAACAGGAUUUGUCAUGUCUCAGUGGUCUGUGGCUAUUGGCUGGGCCCCUAGGUGAUCCAGUGAUGCUCUAUGUGUCUCCCAUCCUUGGCGGGCCAUCCUGGACACAUUCCCAUGGCAGAGGCAUCAGAACCCUACAUCGCCCAGUGCUUCUUUGAGGCCCAGGUUGGGAACUCCAGCUUCAUUAAUUUCAUUGUGUUCUAUUGGCCAAAGCAAGACAACAUUACUUUUACUUUGUAUUAUUAAUGUUUUUUUAAAAUAAUGAGUUAGUGUGUGUGUGUAAUAUGUGUGCGUGUGUUUGUUUGUGUGCCGGUAUGUGUGGAGGCCAAAGGUUAACACCUCUUGUUUUCCUCUGUUGCCUUCUACCUCACUGCAUAGCUUUGACCGUCCUCAAACUUGCCAUGUAGACCAGGCUGGCCCAAACUCACAGAGAUCUAUCUCAGCCUCCCAAGUGCUCGGAUUAAAGCACUACCACUCCUGCCUUCUCCA